UACGUAGGGGGCAAGCGUUGUCCGGAAUCAUUGGGCGUAAAGCGCGCGUAGGCGGCUAGAUCAGUCUGCUGUGAAAGUCAAAGGCUCAACCUUUGAAUGCCGGUGGAUACUGUCGGGCUAGAGUGCGGAAGAGGCGAGUGGAAUUCCUGGUGUAGCGGUGAAAUGCGCAGAUAUCAGGAGGAACACCGAUUGCGAAGGCAGCUCGCUGGGACGUAACUGACGCUGGAGAACGCGAAAAGCGUGGGGAGCAAACAGG
rnacentral:rRNA from 1 species